UAUGAGAUCAGCCCAGGCCAACCUCCAAGGUAGAGAGAUAACAGAGCACAGAGAGCCCUAUCUCCUGAGGCUCCAUCCCAUUCUUCCUCAGUUUGGACUCUGAACCUGAUUUCCAACUGCUGCUUUUCAUGAAAACUGGAGAGUAUCAGAAGAUGAACAUGACAAGAUAUCACUCUGUAGCCCACGUUAGCCUGGAACUUGUUAUUUAGCUCAGAAUGGCUUCAAACUGGUAUCAGUCUUCCUUCCUCAACGUCCUAAGUGCUGGAAUUACAGGGUCCUUUAAUAGUUCAUAAUGGAACCUCUACAUCUGACAUGGGGGAGGAGAGAGGGAAAGGAAGUUUCCAUACUGUCCUCACACCAAAUGACCAGUAUCCUACUCCAUCGACAUCAAAGCUACUACUCUAUUUCAAGUGUUCGGCACACACUGAAAUUGGCUCCAACAACCAUAUGCUACAAAUGAGAAAACUGAGGCAAAUGAGAGUCUACCACCCUAGUUUUUAGUCCUCAUAAAACCUACGUUCAAUUAUAGGCUUCCUGAAGCUAGGUUAUAUAGUUUCCCAUUAUAUGAAAGCUGAGUAAAAAGAGGGAGAUGGGAAGGAGGAGAAAUAAAUUCCAAGUCUGAAAUAUUCAGCAAAUAUUACAUGAAAGCCAUUUAGGAUCAGGUUCCAACAAUUCUAAAGUGUCCCUUGUAAAGAAAUGAACAUCUUUGAGACUAGGUUUGUCUUGCUGCACUAAUACAGAAAGACACCAGGAACAGGCUUUGUGAUGCCUCUUUCAGGACAGGUGGCCAAACUGAUGGCCCAUUCUCUCAGCACCAUUCGCCAUGUGGGAUCAUAAGAGAGCCAGGGUAGAAAGGCCCUUGCCCUCAUGGAGCAUAGAGUCUAGAGUGAAGAUAUAUGUGUAGCAAGCAAUGACACAGCACAGUCAGUCAGUCACAUCAGGUAUAGAGUGUCAAGGAAGCACAGGAGAGGAUCAGAGAAGGCUCCAGAUAUGAUGGAGCCUUUGAACUGGGCCACAAAAAAGAAGAAAGUGAGAAACGGUUACUUUUUGCAGAGACACCAGCAUGGGCAAAAACCAGAAUCACAAAAGAGCAGAGCACAGGCUUGGCUCAUUUCAGAGAUUGCAGUUCCCUCAGCAGUGAGAUCAAACUGUAUGUAUUUGGUCAGGUUCAUCUAAUAAAUCUGGCAUUAGAGAGCAGAGUGGGAUUGAGACAGUUGCAGCUUGAAAAGACUCCACAGUGUAUGCAACCCUCAUUUUAAAGGUGCCCUCACUUUGUGCAAAUAUCUCUUUACACUAUCAGAUGUUUGGUCCCACUCUGUGUUACACAGAACAAACAGUUUGGAGAGAGAGGAGCACCGCCUUCCAUGGCAAAGCUAGCUCUUGACCUUCAGCAGCCAUAAACAAGGAGGACACGUAGUGUCUCCCCCAAUAAAGCCCUCUUUGUAUUG